AGUGACGGACGGCUCCGUGGAACCCGCCCAGCCGGGCCCUUCCCCCCACCCGGGCCUGCACCAUCCUCCUGCCCCUGCACCGCGCGCGUGGCGGGGCGGGCACCUCGCGGGGCAGGAGCAGGAGCAGGAGCUGCCGCAGUGCUGCCACGAGGGACAGCGUCACUGCAUCCAGAAACUGGGCACAGGCCUCCUUGACCCAAGCAAACAGGGCAACUAAAACAGCCCAGUCAAUCGGGAGCGAGUUUUGAUGUUUUGGAGGGGCUGCUCCAACUUGUCGUGGAGCCUGAUUUGGCCUGAAAUGAACUUUUCCACCCGGAAAAACGUAUGCGGCUGUUUGGCUACGACGCUCGGUCUAAACCGGCAUCCGAUUCCGCUUGGCGGGCGUCCUUAUAACCCACGAGAGUUGCUGUGUCGGGUCGUCGAAAACGUUCGCGGUCGCCGUCUCGGGUCGGUCUCGCUCAACGCUGGGUUUCUCCAGAAACGAUUAAGAGCAGCGCUACGCCGGGGGUCGCCUGGACCACCCUCCGCCGCUCCUGCGCAAGAUGAAGUUUCAUUUCUACCUGCAAGCAACGUUACAAUCUUGAAAGCUUGCAAAUAAAGCCUAUUUUUUUUUGCAACCAUUUAGUUGGUCUCAUAAAAAGAGACCACUGACUUUAGACCAACAUGGCUCCACCUUUAUCUCUGAACCACGGUGUUCAGCUUUUUCCCCCUUCUACCCCCCACCUAAGAUUUAGAAAUGUACAUUUUAAGUUAAAUUGGAGGUGCUGAUUGAUAUAACCCUGGGCCUUCAGAAGCUUACAGAACACCACAAAUACUGAGGGAAAAUCACAAGAGGAGGGAACUAAUUGAAUCUCAAAUCCUUUGGUAGGGUAGAGAUUGUAAAACAUCUUGCCCUCAAAGCAGAAAAGAGAGAGUGAGGGAGAAAAAGAAGAGAAAUCCUAGCCUACGGCCUACUCUGCCCUGUGGAAAGACCUGCAACAUCUGUGGAUGGCUCUGUGAUGCAAGGACUGGACUCUUAAGUCCUCUUAAGACCCACCAGUGAACCGUAAUAGAGAUCACCCUCAAAUUGGGGGUUUGUCAAUGACCUUUGAAGUGCUGUAAGUGAUAAGCAAGAAACUCUGAUGGCAUCUAAAGUUUGUGGCAGUAACAGUGAGUAAUUGUUUCUGAUGGCAUUCCUUUCACAGUAACUUGGUACCAGUGCAGCAGUAUUAACUUCUCUGGAGCAAAUCUAAUUUAUACCUCUCAAAGUGAGGUUGAAAGGAAAAUGUUAGCUUUUGCUGAAAGUGCUGCAGUUAUGUGCAUUGUGCUGUGUGCUUCUGAUUUCAGGGGUGCCCUUGCCUAACCAAGAUAGAAAGCUCGAUAUAGAUAGUAGGAAAUCAUGCCCUGAAUCUUGUUUAAUACCAGCUCUUUGAAAACUGAGUCACAAAGGACGUUUUCUGACUUUUGUCCUCUGGUUCUUAAGUGGAAAGUAGUACACAGUGGAGCAAAGUAGCUAGGGUAAUGGUCUGUGGCCGUGACAGAAUGCCUCAAGUGCUUAUUUAAUGGUCAUGUUUCAAUUUUCCUGACCUGCCUGCAGUUGCUCAGAUGAAUGCAAUUUUAAUUCUUAGGAUGAAGAUGCUAAUAAUUGCACUCAGUGAAUGCUCCUUAAACAAAGGAGAUGAUAAAAAGUCAGGGAAGAAUUAAACCAGAUGUUUUGGACUUGACUUUGGCUAAUGCUUAUUAGUUUUUGAAGUUGUAACUAGGAAGUUCUGUCUCAUGGAGAGAUACUUCGGUAUAACUUCAGGCUACCUUGGAAACUAAAAAAAGAAAUUGGCUUUUAUUUUAGUGACAUCUUUUAAAAUUAUUUUUUAAUUGGUGAGAGGCUUUGUCCUCUUUAACAAGUGGCUCUCGCACCAGCAAUCAGAACUCAAGUAAUGAAGUCAGAAAUCCUUGUUUGAUUGCUGUGAAACAUGGCUCAAAAUAAGCUGUUGUGAGCAAUAUAUGAAAUGCAAUUAGAUUUCAGCAAUGCUAUUAGUAGGAACUAGAUGACUUUGUGGACUGGUAAUAGAAUAUGGCUCCUUUUAUCAUUAAGUCACCAGUUUGCAUUCAGCCAUGGCUGACAGCAAUGGCAAAGUAUGGUUAUGUGAUGGCCGAUCUGAAAUUAAUUUGCAGUUCAUGUUUCCACUCAGCAGCUGUCUUUUUCUUCAAGCUUUCCAGGGGCCUAGUCCUCAGCAAUGACAAAUGCUAUUACUUUAGAAAAUAAGACUUGCCCCUCUAGAAUAGACCAAUGGUUUGUCUGAGCAUUUAAAGGAUAGUUGCCAUCAUUGCAGCUGGAACUUCUUACCCUAUUUCAUUGGUGCCCUCAUUUAGGAGAUCAAAGCCUUCAUUCCCUUCUUUUUUUCUGUCAGCUGUUGCUUCUAGGGUCCUGAACCAAACUCUUGGAAAUCAGUAGGAGUCUUUUCAUUGUCUUCAGUAGGCUCAGGUCAAGCCUUAGGUCAGAAAUGGGACACACUGGCUGCAUCUACACGAGACACUGACUGCAGUUGUUACUCUGUAGUCAUUUAGUAGUUGCAUACCCAAAUACUAAAUGACUGCCCAGUAACUGGCAUUACUGUGCAGUACCAUCCCCGCAUGGCUUUUUGCAGAUGCUACUGCUCAGUAGCUCAUUUCUACUGCACAGUAACUUGUUACUUCUGUGCAGUAGUGUCGCGUCACGCUUCAUGCCAUGCGACACUACUGAGCAGUAGUAAUGAGCUACUGUGCAGUCAGUGUCUCGUGUAGACAUGGCCACUGACAAUAGGCACCGUAGGGUGUUGAACGCCUUCUAGCAAGAAGUAGACAAUUUUAAUAUCUAGUUCAGUCAAUUCAGCUCACUUCUCUACCCUCAACAAAACAAAAUGACUCUUGAAUUUUAAGCAUAAAUCAAAAGUUCCAAAUGCUUUAUAGCCAGUACAGGUAGUGUGGGAAACAAUGGAAUCAAAUCAGAGCAGACUUCAGACAUGAGUCGCAAAUACCUAGAAGAGCUUUAAUUCUUAUCAGUGUUAAAUUAGCCUUUGGGAAACUUUUGCUUUCUCUUCAUUAAAUUCAUUAAAUAUAUAUAGGGCCUUGAUCCAUUGGGUAGGUGCACUCAGGUACACCCCUAUGUACAGCCCACUAUAAUCAUGCAGUUUCAUAUGGGAGAAUGGGUUAACUUGUGUUUCUCAUUGAAGAACCAAGAUUCUGUGCAGAAGCAAAGCUCUUUUCUUCUAGCUUCCUUGUUUCUCCAAGAGUGGCAUAUGAGGUUUAGAAUCUGGUACCCAUUGUUUGAUCAAAUCACACAAAGACUCAGGCAUAUGAAGCUGCAUUUUCAAAUAGCCACUGAUUUGGGGUGCUCCACUUAUUGCCUGGUUAGUGUGAGGCAAUUUGAGUCUGAUUUCAGGAAGCAUAGAGUCAGACCUCUUGUGAAAGAAUUGCCCAGUGGUUAGUGCCUCUUCCUCCCCUUCAGAUUUGUGAGAACCAGGUUCAGGUCAAGGUUGUGGCCCAGGCCUCUUGUGGGACCUUAGCAAGUCGCACUCUUGGCCUCGGCUUUCUCUUCCUAAAAAACAGGGAUGUAGCACAUUCCUACUUCAGAGGGCUGUUGGGGGGAUAAAGAUGAUGGAGAUUGUUAGGUGCCUGAAUGUUAUGAUACUUGAAGCUACAUAAUCCCCUAGAUAGAUUGAUGUCAAAUGGUGUAAUGGGUGCUUAGUAUGUCUGAAAAUUGCUAAGCAUUUCCCCUGAAUAGACAUACUCAAUGCACAUACAAAACUGCCACCUGUCAUUUUGUCAUGGGUAUCCAGAUUCAGGUAAAACAUCAUAUAAAUGCAGUUUCUGAUGCGUGUGAUGAAAUACAUACCACAUUCACAUUUAACUUCAAAGACUGCCUCAAGGCACAUCCAAACGUUGCCUCUUGUCUAAUACUUAGCGCAGCACCACUUUAAUACUUAAAUCAUCCUUUAUUUCGAGAGCUACAGCUUGCCUUUAUGGUAAUAUGAAUUUAAUGAUGUCUUGAGUUUGUUUCCAUUUCAACCUGACUUCCAGGAUCCCAGAUGAAUAGAUGUGUUUGUUGAACAACCAAUAGGCCUAAGCAGAAUUCUUGUUGAACAUUGAUAUUCAGCGCUGUUGAUCUUUACAAAUGUUUCAGGUAAUUUGUUUUUUUUUCUGUGAAUAACUGUCCUGCUUUACUAGCUUUGUGAUAAGCAGCACCACAUGCUAUUAUUGAUCCAGAUAUCUACUUUACAAAAUGUGUACCAUUACUGAUAGGACUGGAUGGGAUGAGCUAUUUGGAAGUCUUCUCUUUAAUCAAUGGAAUUACAAAUUUUAUCAUGCAAGGUUUAUUAUCUUUGAAAAUAAAAAGCCAACAGAUUUCAUUAACAGGAAUACUUUGAUUGGACUGGGACAACAGCAAAGGGCUGAGCCGUUUUUCACCUGCUGGAGGUCUCCAGUGAGACAGCAGAUUUUCUCAUCCAAGAUUUAUUAUCUUUGGAAGUAGGAAGGUUUCACUAACAUGCAAGGAAAAGUCUUAGUCACAGAAGGUGCUGUACAGCUCAUAUCUAUUGUUUGUGUGGUUUCUGAGCGGCUAUAAAAGAAGCUGAGAGAUACAUGCUCUCAUUGCAACUGGACCUUCACUAGAGGACUAGCACUGAGACAGAUCUGUGCUGAUCAGCCUUUGCCGUGAACUCUGUAGGAUCAACCCAGAUCCGAAGAAGUUUAAGAUGCUUCUGUCCCAGAGAUCUCUGCAGAUGGUUAUAUUUCUGGCCAUCUUUUUUCUUGCUUGUUUUGCAACAUCUCAAGAAGUGGAAAAUAAAAGAGCAGUGACAGAACACCAGUACAUGCAUGAUAAAGGGAGGGCGCUUCAAGGGCUCAAGCGCCUGAUGUGGCUCUCUAAUGUCAUGGGUGGUGUGCAUACAGCCAGCAGCAGAGAUGUUCCACUUUCAAAUGCCAUGUGGGAUCUGCAGAAGAGCGAUGAUCUCCCUGGCCUUUAUGACAGCAUCAGCAAUGAUGAGACUCCAAAUCUAGUGAAGCAGCUGCUGCUGGGCUUGAUGGAGAAGGAACAAACCUUUCCUAUGCUGAAGAAAAUGGAUUUGCUGCAGUAUAUAAAGAAUGCAAAAGGUAGCUGGAACCUGCAGUACCUUCCUGACAUAUUUCAAGUCAAAGAUCCUAGCAGCAAAAGAAGUCCCAGUGCUCAACCAAAUAACAUUCCUCUCUCAAUCUGAACCCAUUGCAGUCUGUCCAUAGCUUUAGACACGUGAUAUUGUUUUGGGGAAAUGCUCUACUGCAAAGGUGAACUGCAAAAGAAAAAAUAACGUUUACUUGUACCCUUUAUUAUUCCUCGAUAUUGCACAAAGACAGCCCCGUAAAGGGACAGACCACUAUCCUAGCACAAAGACUGAACAAGUGAUUUGUGCUCUGGGGAGGUCUGCAGGAGUCAGAAUUUUCCCUUCAACAUGAUGGGAGCGCUCCAUAACUGGGUCUGAAGCUUCGGGGUUUCUUGGGUGGUUUGGCUGGAGAAGCUGUGUAUUUAUAGAUUCCUUGAUUCUCAAAGUCCCAUAGAAAUGUAUUUGGUGCAGUAGGUAUGUAGACCUUUUCUAUGGGCCCCCUGCCUGACUACCUGCCUGUUGUGCAUCAGUUUUGCAUCUGCAUCGUUGCAUUCAUGGCCUUUCAUAGUCAUGAACCAGGCUGUAGCACUAGGCCCAAAUGUUUUUGCUACAUUUUGUUUAUUAAAAAUACAGAUUCCCACCUGGUAGGUUUUCCUUGAGGAUGCUGACUUUCAUAGAUCCAUAGAUUGUAGAGUCAGAAGGGACCCUGAAGGAUCAUCGUGUUUGACCCCUGCCCCAGGCUUUGUAGGUACAAAAGCUGGAGUUUGAAAGCAACCAGCAGCUCUUCUAGUUGCAGACUCAGAUCAUUGUCCCACAUUAGUGGUGGGAGGGGAAGGAUGCAGAUCAGUUCCCAAACUGCAUGUUUGAUAUCAUGUUUCAGGAUCUCUUAAAGUUUCCCUGAAUCCUCCAAACAAAAAGUUGAGAACAGCUGGAGCGACAAGUAUUUUCUGGGGUAAAUAUAAAUUUCAUGAGGCCAUCUUGAUCUAUCCCAUAAGGAACAAUAAAUGGCACAAAGAAAUUUGAAUUUUAUUUUGCCAUUCACCUUUACUGCCAUAUUUGUCAAUUAUGUCUUAAGCAAAGCAACAUCCUGUUCAAGUGCAAAAUAAAUAUUUUGGAUAUUAUAUUUCUCCCAUUCAUGUUACCAGUCUAUCAACAUUUCCAUCACCUGUGGAUGACAUAUAUUACUUGAAUUCUUGAAAAUUGGCUGUUGGUAAUAGUAGAAUUCAGCUGUAUGUUCAGAGGGCAAAAGAACAUUUCUCAUUUAACACAGUGGUACAAUUUAAACAACAGUCCUUGCUGUCAUUAAAAUGAAAAGAUUUUUCACAUGCGGCAUAGAUAUAUCUGUUGUACUCAAAUAAACUCUAGAACUAUAAAUAAAAUAAAGCAAGAUUAUCUUUUA